rnacentral:rRNA from 1 species
UACGUAGGGUCCGAGCGUUGUCCGGAGUUACUGGGCGUAAAGCGCGCGCAGGCGGCGGUGCUGGCCCGGCGUGAAAGCCCCCGGCUCAACCCGGGGGAGGGUCGUCGGGGACCGCACCGCUUGAGGGCGGUAGGGGCUGGUGGAAUGCCUGGUGUAGUGGUGAAAUGCGUAGAGAUCAGGCGGAACACCCGUGGCGAAGGCGGCCAGCUGGGCCGUCCCUGACGCUGAGGCGCGAAGGCGUGGGGAGCGAACGGG